rnacentral:rRNA from 1 species
UACGGAGGGAGCUAGCGUUAUUCGGAAUUACUGGGCGUAAAGCGCACGUAGGCGGAUCUUUAAGUCAGGGGUGAAAUCCCAAGGCUCAACCUUGGAACUGCCUUUGAUACUGGGGAUCUCGAGUCCGGAAGAGGUUGGUGGAACUGCGAGUGUAGAGGUGAAAUUCGUAGAUAUUCGCAAGAACACCAGUGGCGAAGGCGGCCAACUGGUCCGGUACUGACGCUGAGGUACGAAAGCGUGGGGAGCAAACAGG